rnacentral:rRNA from 1 species
GACGGAGGAUGCAAGUGUUAUCCGGAAUCACUGGGCGUAAAGCGUCUGUAGGUCGUUUAAAAAGUCUACUGUUAAAAAUUGAAGCUUAACUUCAAAGGUGCCGUAGAAACUUUUAAACUUGAGUAUGGUAGGGGUAGAGGGAAUUUCCAGUGGAGCGGUGAAAUGCGUAGAUAUUGGAAAGACCACCAAUGGCGAAGGCACUCUACUGGGCCAUUACUGACACUGAGAGACGAAAGCUAGGGGAGCAAACGGG